rnacentral:rRNA from 1 species
UCGAGAAUCUUCGGCAAUGGGGGCAACCCUGACCGAGCGACGCCGCGUGUGGGAUGAAGGCCCUUGGGUUGUAAACCACUGUCAGAGGGGAUGAAGUGCAUGGGGGUUCUCCCCUGUGUUUGACAUAGCCUCAGAGGAAGCACGGGCUAAGUUCGUGCCAGCAGCCGCGGUAAGACGAACUGUGCAAACGUUAUUCGGAAUCACUGGGCUUGAAGAGUGCGUAGGCGGUUUCGUAAGUAGGGUGUGAAAGCCCCCGGCUCAACCGGGGAACUGCGUCCUAAACUGCGGGGCUGGAGUGAGGUAGGGGUGUGUGGAACUUCCAGUGGAGCGGUGAAAUGUGUUGAUAUUGGAAGGAACGCCGGUGGCGAAAGCGACACACUGGGCCUUGUCUGACGCUGAGGCACGAAAGCCAGGGGAGCAAACG